rnacentral:misc_RNA from 1 species
AAAAAAAAAAAAAAAAAAAAGGAGAUUGGAUUGUAAGCUGAGUUGUGUUGUGCUGAAAAAAAAAAUUGACAAGCUGACAUAAGUGAUGAAAUUGUGAAUUGUGAAGUUAAACAUUGAAUUUGAGCCUGAUAAUCUACCAACAUCUUUGGGUAUUACUAGACACCUCACAUGCCAUAUUUGAUGUGAAAAUUCCACUGUUUGCAUAUCGAACCAAAUUUUGCGGCAAACCUGAUCAAAUUUAGUUAACACACCAAACCAACCCAGAAAACUCCGAAAUUUUGCAGGCUGAUUAUACUCAAUUUCAGUAGCUUUUGUGUCAAUUUUCAGGGUUUUGUGACAUUGUUUGCCUACCGAACCAAAAUUUUGCGACAGACCUAGUCAAAUUUCGUUCACCUAGUAAACCCAUCCAGAAACUCCUGAAAUUUUACCAGUAGUUAGUCAGUAUUGGGAUGCCUAUGUCUACCAAAUUUCAGAUCAAAAUAUAUUCGUUUUUGUGGUAAACCAAAAUUGUUGCAUAUUUUUGGUUAAUUGUGUGAACUGCUGGUAUUUGUGCAAAGUUGACUAUGAAAUUGGAAGUUUGAGCUUGAUAUCAUUCUAUUGGGUUGUCUCUCAUACAGUUUUCAAAAAAUCAUACCAUUUAGUUCACAUUUGCUUCUACUUUUGGUGUCUUCCAUUUCUUUGGCUCUAGUGUCACACUCUCUGGUUAUUGCUAUUUCGUUUCUCCCAGUUUCGUUUGUUGAUUGUUUUUUUAUAAAAUUAGCAAGUAUUUGUGCAUGUUUGUGAAUUUUAGUUCCCAAAGGAACAAAGGAACAAAGGAAGCAAACUGUUGAGUGGUAAAAGGCAAGAGUGUGUGAGUGCCAAAAGAGGGUAAGAGCCUGAAAUUUGUGCGAAAACACUUGAACUAAACACUUGAGAGGGUGAGCCAUUUCUACUAACUUCGUUUUCUUGCAGCCAAAUCAUGUCUCAAUUCCAAGAGACAAGUGGUAGUAGUGGAGGUAAUGAAGAAAAAAUGGAGUUUCCUGAUGAUCAAAUUUUUAAAGAAUCCGUAGCACAAAGUUUUGAAAGGAUGAAUUUGCAAAUGAAUGACUUUAGAGAUGAAUUGGAUGUAUUGAGGGGAAUGAGAAAUGAGAUGACCAGGUUUAUGGAAGAGAUGAGAAGGGACAGAGAAGAUAGAAAUAGGAGGAAUGAUGGGGGAGCAAAUGUGGGAAAUCAGAAUAGAAAUGAAGGUAGAUUUCGGGCAGAACAUAGGAAUGAAGGGUAUGAAGAAGCUGAAUGGAAUGAUGAUGAGUAUGAUGAAGCUUAUGACUAUGGCAACUACCAUUAUGGUGGAAGAGGGUAUAGACCACCUAGGGGUAGAGGGCCUAGUGGAAGAAGGGGUGGCAGAAAUUUUAGGUUCGGUGAUCAUUGGGAUAGAGAUGGGAAUGAGGAGAGAGUUGAUGGGAAUUUAGCUAGUAUAAAAAUGCAAAUUCCACCUUUUCAUGGGAAGGAUAAUCCAGAUGUUUAUUUGGAGUGGGAGAGACAGGUGGAGUUGAUUUUUGAGUGCCACCAUUAUUCUGAAGAGAAGAAAGUGAAGUUAGCAGCUGUAGAAUUCAAAGAGUAUGCAAUUAUAUGGUGGGAUCAGUUGUUGAGUAGGAGGAAGAGAAAUGGGCAACGAACUGUGGAGACAUGGGACGAAAUGAAGGGAAUCUUGAGAAACAGGUUUGUGCCACCUUACUACCACAGAGAGCUGCUUCAAAGGUUACAAAAACUCACUCAAGGUACCAAAAGUGUCGAAGAAUACUACAAGGCCAUGGAGAUAGCGUUGAUUAGAGCUGAUGUUGAGGAGGAUCGGGAAGCUACAAUGGUUCGCUUUUUGAAUGGGUUAAAUCCUGAAAUUGCUAAUAUUGUGGAGCUGCAACCUUGUGUGGAGGUGGAGGAUAUGCUACAAAUGGCACUUAAAGUGGAGAAGCAACUAAAAAGGAAAAAUGUGGCUAGAUAUGCACCAGCCAACCAUUCGGCUCCUAGGAGUAAUUGGAAGUCAAAUUGGUCUGCUCCUUCAAGGGUGGAGAAAGAAGUUCCCAAAUUCAAGAAAGAAGAAUGGAAAGGAAAGGAGAAAGUAGAGGAGAAGAACAAGGGAGUUCCUACUAGGACUAGAGAACUGAAGUGUUUUAAGUGUUUGGGAAAUGGACAUUAUGCCUCACAAUGUCCAAAUAAAAGAGUGAUGGUUGUUAGGGAAAAUGGAGAGUUAGAAAGUGAAGAGGAAAGGGAGGAAGAAUCUGAUAAUGUUGAUGAGCAUGAGGAUGAUUGCUACGAUGAGGGAGAUCAACCACCUAUGGAUGGCAAUAUCCUUGUCACCAUGCGCACACUUAGUGCACAAGUGAGUAUGGAGUGUAGUGAUGAAAUGCAAAGAGAGAAUAUCUUCCAUACUAGGUGCUUGGUGAAUGACAAGUUGUGUAGUGUGAUUGUAGAUGGUGGGAGCUGUUGUAAUGUGGCUAGUUCACUCUUGGUGGACAAGUUGGGUUUGCCUACUACUACACAUCCAAAACCAUAUGGCUUGCAAUGGUUGAAUGAUUGUGGGAAGUUGAGGGUUACAAAACAGGUGGUGGUGCCAUUCACCAUUGGCAAGUAUAAUGAUGAGGUACUUUGUGAUGUUGUGCCUAUGGUUGCUACGCAUCUUUUGUUGGGCCGUCCAUGGCAGUAUGAUAGAAGUGUUGUGCAUGAUGGUAGGAAGAACAGGUACACGGUCACUAAGGAAGGUCGAACAUACUCAUUGCUUCCUAUGACACCAGCUCAAGUGCAUGAAGAUCAAAUAAGGAUUCUUAGAUCCAUUGAAGAAAAGAAAGAAACUUGGAGAGAAAAACUUAGAGAGGCCGAGCUGGAUGAGAGUGAAAAGAAAGAGAAGAGAGAAGAAAAAGAGAGAAAAAGAGAAACAAAAGAAAAGAAAAUGAGAGCAAAUGAGAAAAAGGAAAGCUCGGGGCAAAAGGAGAGUGGAGAGAAAAGAAUGAGUUUGUAUGUAAAGGAAAGAGAAGUUAGAGAGGCUUUACAUUCAGGAAGACCUCUUUGUGUACUUAUGUACAAGGAGGUUAAUUUAUGUGUUACUGACCUUGAUUCACAUUUGCCUAGUGAUGCUUUGUCUCUUAUACAGGAAUAUGAAGAUGUCUUCCCCAAUGAGUUGCCACUAGGAUUGCCACCUAUCAGAGGGAUUGAGCACCAGAUCGACUUAGUACCUGGAGCACAAAUACUGAAUAGACCAGCAUACAGAACAAAUCCUAAAGAAACAAAGGAGUUACAAAGGCAAGUGGAGGAGCUUAUGGAGAAGGGCUAUGUUAGGGAGAGCAUGAGCCUAUGUGCUGUACCUGUGUUGCUAGUGCCUAAGAAGGAUGGGAGUUAUCGCAUGUGUGUGGAUUGCUGAGCCAUCAAUAAAAUCACUGUAAAGUAUAGACACCCAAUCCCUCGCCUUGAUGAUAUGCUUGAUGAGUUGCAUGGUGCAAGUGUGUUUUCUAAGAUAGAUUUGAAAAGUGGUUACCACCAAAUAAGAAUGAAAAUUGGUGAUGAGUGGAAAACUGCUUUCAAAACUAAAUAUGGGUUGUAUGAAUGGAUGGUGAUGCCAUUUGGGCUCACAAAUGCUCCUAGCACUUUUAUGCGUUUGAUGAAUCAUGUGUUGAGGAAUUUCACUGGAAAAUUUGUUGUUGUGUAUUUUGAUGACAUUUUGAUUUACAGUAGUAACAUAGACGAGCAUUUGGAUUACUUGAGACUUGUUUUUGAUGUGUUGAGAAAUGAGAAAUUGUAUGUGAAUGCGAAAAAGUGUUCAUUUUGCUUGGAUAAGGUUGUUUUUCUUGGUUUUGUUGUAAGUAGUAAAGGUGUACAGGUUGAUGAAGAGAAAAUCAAAGCCAUUAGAGAUUGGCCAAUUCCUAAGAAUGUGUCUGAUGUUAGGAGUUUCCAUGGAUUGGCUAGUUUCUAUAGGCGAUUUGUGUCUAAUUUUAGUACAAUUGCUGCUCCUUUGAAUGAAUUGGUAAAAAAGAAUGUUGCAUUUGAGUGGAAAAAGAAACAUGAACAUGCAUUUUCUGAACUUAAAGAUAGAUUGUGUUCUGCACCCUUGUUGAGUUUGCCAAAUUUUGAUGAGACUUUUGAAAUUGAAUGUGACGCAAGUGGUGUAGGAAUUGGUGCGGUUCUCAUGCAAGAGAAACGACCAAUAGCAUAUUUUAGUGAGAAAUUGCAUGGAGCUGCCUUGAAUUACUCUACUUAUGAUAAGGAGAUUUAUGCAUUAGUUAGGGCCUUGGAAACUUGGCAACAUUAUUUGUGGCCUAAAGAAUUUGUCAUACAUUCGGAUCAUGAAUCAUUGAAGCAUAUUAAGAGUCAAAAUAAGUUGAGUAGAAGGCAUGCUAAAUGGAUUGAAUUUUUGGAGUCAUUUCCAUAUGUGAUUAAAUACAAGCAAGGAAAAGAGAAUGUUGUAGCUGAUGCACUUUCUAGGAGACAUGCACUUUUGUCUACACUUGAUGCUAAAUUGCUUGGUUUUGAGUUCAUGAAAGAAUUGUAUGUUGAUGAUGCUGAUUUUUAUAAUGUAUAUGCUGCUUGUGAGAAAAGUGCAUUUCAGAAAUUUUAUAGGCAUGAUGGAUACUUGUUUAAGGAGAAUAAAUUGUGUGUGCCUAAAUGCUCUAUGCGAGACUUGCUUGUUUUGGAGUCACAUAGUGGUGGUUUGAUGGGACAUUUUGGUGUUGCUAAGACUUUAAACAUAUUGCAAGAACACUUCUUUUGGCCACAUAUGAGGAAAGAUGUUGAUCGAAUGUGUUCUAGGUGUGUUGAAUGUAAGAAAGCAAAGUCUAGAGUAAUGCCAAAUGGUCUUUACACACCCUUGCCUGUUCCUAAGGAACCUUGGACUGAUAUUUCUCUGGAUUUUAUUUUGGGUUUGCCUAGGUCUAGGAGAGGUCAUGAUUCUAUAUUUGUGGUUGUUGAUAGAUUUUCUAAGAUGGCACACUUCAUACCGUGUCACAAAACAGAUGAUGCCACAUACAUAGCCAAUUUGUUCUUUAAGGAGAUAGUCAGGUUACAUGGUAUACCUAGGACUAUAGUGACUGAUAGAGAUGUUAAAUUCCUAAGUCACUUUUGGAGGGUGUUGUGGGGUAAGUUAGGUACUAAACUGCUGUUCUCAACUACUUGUCAUCCCCAGACUGAUGGACAAACAGAAGUAGUGAAUAGAAACUUAACUACUUUAUUACGUGUGAUGGUUAAACAAAACUUGAAAUCUUGGGAAGAUUGCAUUCCUUUUGUUGAGUUUGCUUAUAACAGAGUAGUUCAUUCUUCUACCGGAUUUUCACCAUUUCAGAUUGUGUAUGGAUUUAAUCCAUUGACACCAUUAGACUUGUUGCCUUUACCUGUUGAUCAUAUUAAUAGUCUUGAUGGUAAAAAGAAAGCAGAUUUGGUUAGGAAAUUGCAUGAGCAAGCUAGGUUACAAAUUGAAAAGAAAAAUGCACAAUAUGCUACUCAUUCUAAUAAAGGCCGAAAGCCUCUUGUGUUUGAACUAGGUGACUUUGUUUGGGUGCAUUUAAGGAAAGAGCGGUUUCCAAACCUAAGAAAGUCAAAAUUACAGCCAAGGUGUGAUGGUCCAUUCAAAGUGCUAGAAAGGAUCAACAACAAUGCAUACAAGAUUGAUUUACCUGGUGAGUAUGGUGUUAGCAAUUCUUUUAACAUUACUGAUCUUUCCCCUUGCAUUGAUGCAGGACCAAAUUCGAGGACGAAUUCUUUCAAAGGAGGAGGGGAUGAUGAAGAAGCGCCAGUGCCUAUGCCAUUAUUUAGAAGACCCAUCACCAGAGCCAGAGCUAGAGAGCUGCA